rnacentral:rRNA from 1 species
GACGGAGGAUGCAAGCGUUAUCCGGAAUGAUUGGGCGUAAAGCGUCCGCAGGUGGCAGUUCAAGUCUGCUGUCAAAGACCGGGGCUUAACUUCGGAAAGGCAGUGGCAACUGAACAGCUAGAGUAUGGUAGGGGCAGAGGGAAUUCCUGGUGUAGCGGUGAAAUGCGUAGAGAUCAGGAAGAACAUCGGUGGCGAAGGCGCUCUGCUGGACCAUAACUGACACUCAGGGACGAAAGCUAGGGGAGCGAACAGG